rnacentral:lncRNA from 1 species
AUGCUGUUUGUUUCAAUUUGCUUAAAUAACUUGCUAAAAUGAUUUAAUUCAUAACAAUUUAACCGUAGCUCGGUUUUAAACAAACCUUAUAUGUAAAUGGGGUAGAAAAAUGCCUAGUUUAACAUGGUGGCUUCACUUUGCAUGUUUAACAACUCUAAAAUAUGGUUUAGGACAGAACAGGACCAAACUUUAAAAUAUGCACAUGAGGAGUUUCCGGACUUGUUGUUUUGUUGUUCCGGCCUCAUUUAAACUUGCCUAGAUAGAUAGUUUCAUUAUGCUUCAUCUCUUGCCAUGUUUAACAACAUUUAAUAUUGUUGGGUACAUAAACGAGAGAGAACUAAAUAACUGAAUGUGGUGUUUCAUCAAUAUGCAUCCACUUAUUUUUUAGGAUUGCUUGUGCACUUUCCCAUGCCAUGCAUAUUUAAACCGGACAUGCAUCAUACUUGAUUGUGCAUCAUGUCAUGAUUAUGUGGUGGUUGUUUACUAUGUUGUUUGCUUCUUUCCGGUGUUGCUUCUUCGGGUUAGUUCCGAUUAUGUCGCGUUCGUGAGGAUCCGUUCGACUACGUCUGGUUGUCUUCUUCAUGGACUCGUUCUUCUUCCUUGCGGGAUCUCAGGCAAGAUGACCAUACCCUCGAAAUCACUUCUAUCUUUGCUUGCUAGUUGCUCGCUCUUUUGCUAUGCCUAUGCUGCGAUACCUACCACUUGCUUACCAUGCCUCCCAUAUUGUUAAACCAAGCCUCUAACCCACCUUGUCCUAGCAAACCGUUGUUUGGCUAUGUUACCGCUUUGCUUAGCCCCUCUUAUAGCGUUGUUAGUUGCAGGUGAAGAUUGGAGUUUGUUCCUUGUUGAACAUGGAUAUUUUGUUGGGAUAUCACAAUAUCUCUUAUUUAAUUAAUGCAUCUAUAUACUUGGUAAAGGGUGGAAGGCUCGGCCUUAUGCCUAGUGUUUUGUUCCACUCUUGCCGCCCUAGUUUCCGUCAUAUCGGUGUUAUGUUCCCGGAUUUUGCGUUCCUUACACGGUUGGGUUAUAAUGGGAACCCCUUGAUAGUUUGCCUUGAAUAAAACUCUUCCAGCAAUGCCCAACAUUGGUUUUACCAUUCGCCACCUAGCCUUUUCUUUCCCUUGGAUUCUCUAGACUCAAGGGUCAUCUUUAUUUAAACCCCCCCGGGCCAGUGCUCCUCUGAGUGUUGGUCCAAACUAGAGCCCUGUGCAGCGCCCUCUCGGGGAAACUCGAGGUUUGGUUUUAGUUGUAUGGAGCACUCAUCUGAGUGUGCCCAACGAGAUAUGUGCAGCUCCUAUCGGGAUUUGUCGGCACAUUCGGGCGGUGUUGCUGGACUUGUUUUACCAUUGUUGAGGAUGUCUUGUAACCGGGAUGCCGAGUCUGAUCGGAUUGUCUUGGGAGAAGGAAUAUCCUUCGUUGACCGUGAGAGCUUGUGAUGGGCUAAGUUGGGACACCCCUGCAGGGAUUUGAACUUUCGAAAGCCGUGCCCGCAGUUAUGGGCAGAUGGGAAUUUGUUAAUGUCCGGUUGUAGAAAACCUAAAGUUGAUCUUAAUUAAAAUACAUCAACCGUGUGUGUAGCCGUGAUGGUCUCUUCUCGGCGGGGUCCGGGAAGUGAACACGGUGUUGGAGUUAUGCUUGAUGUAGGUUGUUCUAGGAUCACUUCUUGAUCAUAGUUUAUCGACCGUGCUUUUGCCUUCUCUUCUCGCUCUCUUUUGGGUAUAUGUUAGCCACCAGAUAUGCUAGUCGCUUGCUGCAGCUCCACCUCCUACCUUUUACCCUACCUAUAAGCUUAAAUAGUCUUGAUCGCGAGGGUGUGAGAUUGCUGAGUCCCCGUGACUCACAGAUACUUCCAAAACCCAGUUUGCAGGUGCCGUUGAUACCGAGCAGGUGACGCAACCAAGCUCAAGGAGGAGCUCGAUGAAGACCUUGUUCAUUAUGUUGUUCUGUUUCCAGUUGAUCAAUAGUGGAGCCCAGUUGGGACGAUCGGGGAUCUGUGUAGCAUUUGGGGUAGUCUUCUUUUAUUUUGGUUCCGUAGCCGGACCUUGAUUGUAUCUGGGUGAUGUAAUACUUUAUUCAUGUAAUUGUGUAAAGUGGCGAUUGUAAGCCAACUAUGUAUCUCUUUCCCUUUUAUGUAUUACAUGGGUUGUUGUGAAGAUUACCUCACUUGCGACAUGGCUUUCAAUGCGGUUAUGCCUCUAAGUCGUGCUUCG